rnacentral:rRNA from 1 species
UGCAGUCGACGGCAGCACGGGAGCAAUCCUGGUGGCGAGUGGCGAACGGGUGAGUAAUAUAUCGGAACGUGCCCAGUCGUGGGGGAUAACGUAGAGAAAUUUACGCUAAUACCGCAUACGAUCUAAGGAUGAAAGCGGGGGACCGUAAGGCCUCGCGCGAUUGGAGCGGCUGAUAUCAGAUUAGGUUGUUGGUGAGGUAAAAGCUCACCAAGCCGACGAUCUGUAGCUGGUUUGAGAGAACGACCAGCCACACUGGGACUGAGACACGGCCCAGACUCCUACGGGAGGCAGCAGUGGGGAAUUUUGGACAAUGGGCGAAAGCCUGAUCCAGCAAUGCCGCGUGCAGGAAGAAGGCCUUCGGGUUGUAAACUGCUUUUGUACGGAACGAAAAGGUCUGCCCUAAUACGGCGGGCCCAUGACGGUACCGUAAGAAUAAGCACCGGCUAACUACGUGCCAGCAGCCGCGGUAAUACGUAGGGUGCGAGCGUUAAUCGGAAUUACUGGGCGUAAAGCGUGCGCAGGCGGUGAUGUAAGACAGUUGUGAAAUCCCCGGGCUCAACCUGGGAAUUGCAUCUGUGACUGCAUCGCUAGAGUACGGUAGAGGGGGAUGGAAUUCCGCGUGUAGCAGUGAAAUGCGUAGAUAUGCGGAGGAACACCGAUGGCGAAGGCAAUCCCCUGGACCUGUACUGACGCUCAUGCACGAAAGCGU